AAUAUCGCACAAUGUGGGAAACCGUGAUGCAGCGACGCCGCGAGAGUGAAGAAGAAUCUCGGUAUNUAAAGCUCUACCAGCAGGUANGAUAACGACGGUACCUGACUAAGAAGCCCCGGCUAACUACGUGCCAGCAGCCGCGGUAACACGUAGGGGGCAAGCGUUAUCCGGAUUUACUGGGUGUAAAGGGAGCGUAGGUGGUUCGGUAAGUCAGGUGUGAAAGCCCGGGGCUCAACCCCGGGACUGCAUUUGAGACUAUCGUACUAGAGUGCAGGAGAGGUAAGUGGAAUUCCUAGUGUAGCGGUGAAAUGCGUAGAUAUUAGGAGGAACACCAGUGGCGAAGGCAGCUUACUGGACUGUAACUGACACUGAGGCUCGAAAGCGUGGGGAGCAAACAGG
rnacentral:rRNA from 1 species